AGGAUGGCGUCAGCCAGUGGCAAGCUCAGUGACGACACUGCUAGGGUGGCCACUUUCCACGGUGCUGGUCCAGUGGGCACAGAACUUCGAACUCGGCAUAUUUUAUUUGGACGAAGAAGCAAACUCCAAGCCUACAACACUUGCCUAAAGGGACAGCCAUCCUGGAGUGGUUGACCAGCUAAAUGUCAACCUGACUGGAGGCUUCUCUUCCUUGAAACUGACAUGGCGUGAUGAUGGACAACACACGUGCUACCGGUCUCAGUGAAGAUCGGCAAUCCUGGCGGCUGUAUGAAGUGCUUCCCAUCACUUGAUGGCAGCUAUGUAGAGCAUCACAUACAUUUUCCAAGCAGCUUCUCUACAAUGGAGAGGCUUUCCUGGCAACUUUUUCGCUAUGGUCAGCGCUUGCCUCUGACGGCUCAGCAGGUCACUCCUACUGUGCUGUGCCACCAGACGAAUAUGGUGAUCGUCUGUUCUUUGUGAACUACACCCAACCGAAUCCACCCGGACAGACUCGCCCAACCUACGGUGCAUGUACAUUAUCAAUGGUAAUGUCAACCCUAGGUGACUACUUAAUGUUCCGGCUGUUUGACACUGUCGUCUUUAGCGAGCGAAGGAGUACUAACAGGAACAACGAUCACCUUCCGCCUAUCUACACCUCGCAGGUGUGUAAGUGCUUUUCUUUAUACGCUGAACAAAAGUGACAAUCUCUGUCUGCUGCUACUUUCACGCCCACAUGUCCUUUGGGAUAUUAUUUGCGAGUGUUUUGAUAUGCAUGUCUGUGUUUUGUGGCAACAUUGAAAAUAAUCCUGCGCCUACUACUCUGUCAGAACAUCUUCUUGAAACUCGGUCAUUACCUGAUAAGCCCUCGGAACAAAUAACAGUCCUUUUUCAGCUACUGAAGAUGUUUGGUCGCAAUCUAUUCAGUCCUCAAGAAGCCAGACUGAAUUGGUUGCCAAUGUCAAAGCAAUCAAGGCCAGUAAAAAAAAUAGCUGAAUUAAUAUUGGCUGUAUUCAAGAAAGACUAGAUGCUCUUUAAGAAAAAGCAAAUUCACUUGAACAGUUUAAGGAACAUGUUGCAGUUCUCCAAAAAAUCUAUAUAUAGACCUGGAACACACAACUUGAUUCUUUGCAAUCUCGUUUUAAAGGGGCCCUGCAACACUUUUUCAACGUGAUCAGAAAAUGCUGCUAAUCGGUAGUUGAAGCUCCAGAGAACACGCGAGCCAAACAUUUAUAGCGCAGCACGCGGCCUGGAAUUUACAGUUAAUUCUUAAAGUCAGCUAGAAAUCGUUCCCUCUUCUCUUGGUGAACAAUGCUUUUAAACCUAA